UGCGCAGGCGGGGAUGUAAGUCAGUGGUGAAAUACUGCCGCUCAACGGUAGAACUGCCAUUGAUACUGCAUCUCUUGAGUAUGGUUGGGGUAGGCGGAAUGUGUUGUGUAGCGGUGAAAUGCAUAGAUAUGACACAGAACGCCAAUUGCGAAGGCAGCUUACUAAGCCAUUACUGACGCUGAGGCACGAAAGCGUGGGGAGCGAACAGGAUUAGAUACCCUGGUAGUC
rnacentral:rRNA from 1 species